UACAGAGGUCUCAAGCGUUUGUUCGGAUUCAUUGGGCGUAAAGGGUGCGUAGGCGGCGCGGUAAGUCGGGUGUGAAAUCUUGGAGCUUAACUCCGAAACUGCAUUCGAUACUGCCGUGCUUGAGGACUGGAGAGGAGACUGGAAUUUACGGUGUAGCGGUGAAAUGCGUAGAUAUCAUGAGGAAUACCAGAGGCGAAGGCGGCUACCUGGACAAUUGCUGACGCUCAGGCACGAAAGCGUGGGGAGCAAAAGGG
rnacentral:rRNA from 1 species